rnacentral:lncRNA from 1 species
GUAUAAGAUUCUAAACAUGUUGACUAAGAAUCCACCAUUUACAAAGAACAUGGAGUCUCCCUUAUGCAAUGAAGCCCUAGUAGAUCAGUAGAUCAACUAUGGAAACUAAUAAAUUCUGGUCUCAGGAGCUGUAUCAACAUCAAGCCCAGACCAGCCUGAGCAGGAUGAGACUCUGUCGAAAACAUACCAGCUGGCAUCCAGGUGUACAUGCCUUUAAUCACAGCACUUGGGAUUUCUGUGAGUUCAAGGCCAGCCAGCCUGGUCUGCAAAGUGAGUUUCAGGUUAUAUAGGGCUGUUCCACAGAGAAACCUUGUCUCAAAAAGCCAAAACAAAACCAAAUAUUAACAACAACAAAAACCCCACCUGGCAAUGGUUUAAGUGUAGAGAAUUUAAAAAUUGGUUUCAUUUAAAGUAUGUAGAAGAAAACAAAUAAGCAUAGGAAGAUUUGCUUAAUUGAUUUCAGAAACCUGAAUUAACAAUAUGAAGAAGUUUAGCAAAAUAUUUUCUUUUUUUUAUUUGAAUUAGAAACAAGAUUGUUUUACAUGUCAAUCCCAGUUCCCUCUCCCUCCCCUCCUACCCUAUCACCACCACCACCCCCAACUAAAACCCUACCUAUCACAUAUCCUUUCUGCUCCCAGGGAGGGUGAGGCCUUCCAUAGGGUGUCAUCAGAGUCUAUCAUAUCCUUUGGGAUAGGGCCUAGGCCCGCCCCCGUGUGUCUUGGCUCAGGGAGUAUCCCUCUAUGUGAGAUGGGCUCCCAAAGUCCAUUCCUAUGCUAGGGAUAAGUACUGAACUACUACAGGAGGUCCCGUAGAUUUCUGAGGUCUCCUCACUGGCACCCACAUUCAGGGGGUCUGGAUCAGUCCCAUGCUGAUAUCCCAGCUAUCAGUCUGGGGACCAAGAGUUCCCCAAUGUUCAGGUCAGCUGUUUUCUGUGGGUUUCACCAGCCUGGUCUGGACCCCUUUGCUCAUCACUCCUCCCUCUCUGCAACUGGAUUCCAGUUCAGUUCAGUGAUUAGUUGUGGGUGUCUGCUUCUGCUUCCACCAGCUGCUGGAUGAAAGUUAUAGGAUAUAGCAUAUAAGACAGUCAUCAAUCUCAUUAUGAGGGGAGGGUAUUUAAGGUAGCCUCUCCUCUGUUGCUUCUUCCUCUAUAAUAAACUGCAUUUAGGAUUAUGUUAUAUCA